CUGUCAAGCGUCUUACCACAAAACUCCACUGAAAUACACGUUUCCACACAAAUUAAAAUCCAUACCAACAUUAGAAUCCAAAAGACACAGUGCACAUCCAUUGAAACAUUGAGUUGAA
rnacentral:sRNA from 1 species